UACGAAGGACCCGAGCAUUAUCCGGAUUUAUUGGGUUUAAAGGGUGCGUAGGCGGAUUAGUAAGUCAGUGGUGAAAGCCCAUCGCUCAACGGUGGAAUUGCCAUUGAUACUGCUAGUCUUGAGUAUGGUUGAGGUGGGCGGAAUGUGUCAUGUAGCGGUGAAAUGCUUAGAUAUGACCCAGAACACCAAUUGCGAAGGCAGCUCGCUAAACCAUAACUGACGCUGAUGCACGAAAGCGUGGGGAGCAAACAGG
rnacentral:rRNA from 1 species